GAUUGGAAUGCCUUAGUCUAUCUUCUCCAAGUAGCUGAGACUUAGUAACUUGAUAUACUCCAACACUUCUCCCUUGAGGAACAUGGGGAUGCAAUUCAACUUUUCUUAAUAAAAACUGCUUAACAAUGAACCUAAA